rnacentral:rRNA from 1 species
AAUACCGGAUAGGAGCGCCUACCGCAUGGUGGGUGUUGGAAAGAUUUAUCGGUUUUGGAUGGACUCCCGGCCUAUCAGCUUGUUGGUGAGGUAAUGGCUCACCAAGGCGACGACGGGUAGCCGGCCUGAGAGGGUGACCGGCCACACUGGGACUGAGACACGGCCCAGACUCCUACGGGAGGCAGCAGUGGGGAAUAUUGCACAAUGGGCGCAAGCCUGAUGCAGCGACGCCGCGUGAGGGAUGACGGCCUUCGGGUUGUAAACCUCUUUCAGUAGGGAAGAAGCGAAAGUGACGGUACCUGCAGAAGAAGCACCGGCUAACUACGUGCCAGCAGCCGCGGUAAUACGUAGGGUGCGAGCGUUAUCCGGAAUUAUUGGGCGUAAAGAGCUCGUAGGCGGUUUGUCGCGUCUGUCGUGAAAGUCCGGGGCUUAACCCCGGAUCUGCGGUGGGUACGGGCAGACUAGAGUGCAGUAGGGGAGACUGGAAUUCCUGGUGUAGCGGUGGAAUGCGCAGAUAUCAGGAGGAACACCGAUGGCGAAGGCAGGUCUCUGGGCUGUAACUGACGCUGAGGAGCGAAAGCAUGGGGAGCGAACAGGAUUAGAUACCCUGGUAGUCCAUGCCGUAAACGUUGGGCACUAGGUGUGGGGACCAUUCCACGGUUUCCGCGCCGCAGCUAACGCAUUAAGUGCCCCGCCUGGGGAGUACGGCCGCAAGGCUAAAACUCAAAGGAAUUGACGGGGGCCCGCACAAGCGGCGGAGCAUGCGGAUUAAUUCGAUGCAACGCGAAGAACCUUACCAAGGCUUGACAUGUUCUCGAUCGCCGUAGAGAUACGGUUUCCCCUUUGGGGCGGGUUCACAGGUGGUGCAUGGUUGUCGUCAGCUCGUGUCGUGAGAUGUUGGGUUAAGUCCCGCAACGAGCGCAACCCUCGUUCCAUGUUGCCAGCACGUAAUGGUGGGGACUCAUGGGAGACUGCCGGGGUCAACUCGGAGGAAGGUGAGGACGACGUCAAAUCAUCAUGCCCCUUAUGUCUUGGGCUUCACGCAUGCUACAAUGGCCGGUACAAUGGGUUGCGAUACUGUGAGGUGGAGCUAAUCCCAAAAAGCCGGUCUCAGUUCGGAUUGGGGUCUGCAACUCGACCCCAUGAAGUCGGAGUCG